AGUGUGUGUCCCUUAAUAUUACUGCCUGCCAACUCUGGUGUCUGCCCCUUCACUUAUUAUUAUAGGAUAGGUCAGAAGCUGCAGCAAGAGAAGGUGACUAUGUUCUGCUUGAUGUGUGGUAUUGGUAAGAUGCUUUCAGUAAAUUUCUAGCUGUGAAGAGUGCACCUCAAGCAUGGACUUUCCCUCUGGGAAUUUAGAAUAAUAAAAAUGAUGCACCUUUUCACCAUCCUUGUGCUAAUGCCCUCACUGCCACAAGAGUGAUUUGCCUCCAUUAUACUAAAAUUACAGUAUCCUGGUAUGUAUGCCUGGUUUCUUUUUGCACAAAAUUCAUACCACUGUCACUUAGUGUCCUACUUGUAUGGAGAAAGCAGGUCUAAGUGACAAAAACAACUGAGGAGUGAUUGUAAUGUAAAUAGGCACAAGAGCACCAGCUCUGUUAGCUAGCACAAAUACCAGUAGCUAUGAAGCUUUGUGCUUCGUAUUAUUAGUUUACCUCUGCUAACUGAAUUACAGUUAGCGCAGUGUAGUCUAGCCAUACUGCUCUUCCAGCUGGAUCGUGUAGACCUGUUUAAUGCGACUCUGAGUAUGGAGUGUUAUGCUGUAUGUGAAUGAUGUGCUGUUGGUUUUCUUUUUCUCUGCAGCUUGACUUGAAUAGAUUUCCUGCCUUUUUUUAGUGAUGGGUAGUACCUGGAGGAAUCACUA